GGAAGAGGCUGUAGCUCAGUGGAAGGGCCUCUGCUUUCCAUGCAAAAUGCCCCAGAUUCAAUCCUUGCUAUUUCCA
rnacentral:tRNA from 1 species